AGGACGAACGCUGGCGGCGUGCCUAACACAUGCAAGUCGAACGGGACCAGGGGCAACUCUGGUUCAGUGGCGGACGGGUGCGUAACACGUGAGGAACAUGACCUUCGGCGGGGGAUAGCCGGCCCAACGGCCGGGUAAUACCGCGUACGACCACAUGGGGACAUCCCUGAGUGGUGAAAGCAGCAAUGCGCCGAUGGAGUGCCUCGCGGCCUAUCAGCUAGUUGGUGAGGUAACGGCUCGCCAAGGCAACGACGGGUAGCUGGUCUGAGAGGAUGGCCAGCCACAGUUGGGACUGAGACACGGCCCAGACUCCGUACGGGAGGCAGCAGUAGGGAUAGUUGCGCAAUGGACGAAAGUCUAGACGCGAGACCGGACGCCGGCGUGGUUGGGAUGGACGGUCUUCGGAUUACGUAAACC
rnacentral:rRNA from 1 species